UGAUGAUGAAAGUUGUCAAAACAGCUGGAGUCACCAGCAGGUGGCGCUGUGCUGGACCGGUUGUUUUCUGAAG